GCAGCUGUGGGAUUACAAAUUUAAGAAUCUGUUUAAGAUCUGCUGAUCCUACAUCCUGACAUAACCUCACAUGAAAUACUAAGGUGAAGUAUAUUGUAUUUAACAUUUUGAGGUAAAGAUAAUGACAAUUUAAGGAGAUCAAGGCAGGCAGCCCAGGUGUCUGUAACAUUAACCUUUUGUCUUCAUGCACUUCCUAACCAUUUGGCAGGACAAGCUCAAGAUACAGCGGUGCCUUUGUCUCUAUGAUAAUGUAAAGGUAUGGGCGACACUGUCAGACUGAGUGGAUUAGCACCUAUGCAUUUGAAUGACACCGUUAUGCUGAUUAGAUCAUGGCUGGGAAAUGUAGGGAAUGGGCUGAUUCCUGCACUGCAUUUGCAUGCUUUGUUUAGAUUGUCUCCACCUCUACUCUAUGUAUCCCUCCCCCUUGAAUGUAUAUGAACUACCAAGUACACUGCCUUAGUUGGACUUGGAUGACUACAGCGACGCACAGCGCGUUUCUCAAUAAAGAGUAACUUCUGCUUGAAAGAUA